AUACGGAAGGUCCGGGCGUUAUCCGGAUUUAUUGGGUUUAAAGGGAGCGCAGGCGGAGAUGCAAGCGUGACGUCAAAUUUCGGGGCUCAACCCCGUCUCGCGUCGCGAACUGCGUCCCUUGGUUGCGGGAAGGGGAGGCGGAACUCGUGGUGUAGCGGUGAAAUGCAUAGAUAUCACGAAGAACUCCGAUCGCGAAGGCAGCCUUCCGGCCCGUCAACGACGCUCAUGCUCGAAGGUGCGGGUAUCAAACAGGAUUAGAUACCCUGGUAGUCCGCACAGUAAACGAUGGACACCCGCGGUUUGGCCUAUAUGGUUGAGCCGCCAAGCGAAAGCGUUAAGUGUCCCACCUGGGGAGUACGCCGGCAACGGUGAAACUCAAAUGAAUUGACGGGG
rnacentral:rRNA from 1 species